GCGAGGGGCGCCUGGGCGUCCGCCACCAACAGCCCGUGCUCCUCGCCCCGCUUCCCCCCUUCGCCUCCCUCCCCCUCCACGCGCCCGGGAGCCCAGGACGGUCCUUCAGGGUCCACGAAUUCAGCUCACCUCCGAAAGGCCUGCGGCAUCUUCUUUCUUUUCCAUUCCUACUAGCAAAAGCCUACUUUGUCCACCCAUUCGCCUCCCCAACAAAUGUGACCCGAGGACCUACUAUGUGACCCUGUUCUACGCUCUUGCAAUAUAAUGCUGAAUUUAAGAAGGCAAGAUUAAGAACCUCCUGAGGUCAACCAGCUAGUUCUGUGCGUCUCUCCUCACCUUCCAGCUACUCAGACAUCCUCUUAACUUCCUAGUUUUACCUCCUAUAAUUUCCCCUAAAUCCAGCUUCCCGACUGAUUUUUUUCCUGAUAAUCCUUUCAUCAUGCAUACUAUUCCAUUGCUCAAAAAAACCCCUUCUGGUGAUCUAGUACCCUAUUUAAUAUUAUGUCCCCUGUUCCUAAAGUCAUCCAGAACCUUUUCACAAGCAGGAUUCCAUCCCCAUGCGAAGCCAUUGUUCUGUAGUUUCCAUCAGUGUGAAUUAUAGAGGGUUGAAUUGUGCCUCCCAAAGAUUUGUUCAAGCCUGAACUCCUAGAAUCUGUGAAUGUGACCUUUGUUGGAAACAGGGCCUUUGCAGGCAUAACCAAGUUAAGGUAAGGUCAAACUGGGAUGAGCCUUGAAUCCAGUGGUUGGUAUCUUUAUAAGAGAAAGAAUCAGGAGUUUUGGAACCCCACACACAGAGAAGAUGGCCAUGUGAAGAUGGAGGUGGAGAUCAAAGUAAUGGGAGCCAUAGGCCAAGGACUGCCAAGAAUUUCCAGAAGCUCUGAGAAGCUAGAAAGAGGCAAGAAAAGAUUCUUUCCUAGAGCCUUUGGAGGUGUUAACCUCGAUUUUGGACUUGCAGCUUCCAAAACCGUGAGAGAAUAAAUAUCUGUUGUAUUAUGCCAUA